rnacentral:rRNA from 1 species
AAGUCGAACGGCAGCAUGAUCUAGCUUGCUAGAUUGAUGGCGAGUGGCGAACGGGUGAGUAAUACAUCGGAACGUGCCCUGUAGUGGGGGAUAACUAGUCGAAAGAUUAGCUAAUACCGCAUACGACCUGAGGGUGAAAGUGGGGGACCGCAAGGCCUCAUGCUAUAGGAGCGGCCGAUGUCUGAUUAGCUAGUUGGUGAGGUAAAGGCUCACCAAGGCGACGAUCAGUAGCUGGUCUGAGAGGACGAUCAGCCACACUGGGACUGAGACACGGCCCAGACUCCUACGGGAGGCAGCAGUGGGGAAUUUUGGACAAUGGGGGCAACCCUGAUCCAGCAAUGCCGCGUGUGUGAAGAAGGCCCUCGGGUUGUAAAGCACUUUUGUCCGGAAAGAAAUCGCACUUACUAAUAUUAGGUGUGGAUGACGGUACCGGAAGAAUAAGGACCGGCUAACUACGUGCCAGCAGCCGCGGUAAUACGUAGGGUCCAAGCGUUAAUCGGAAUUACUGGGCGUAAAGCGUGCGCAGGCGGUUGUGCAAGACCGAUGUGAAAUCCCCGGGCUUAACCUGGGAAUUGCAUUGGUGACUGCACAGCUAGAGUGUGUCAGAGGGGGGUAGAAUUCCACGUGUAGCAGUGAAAUGCGUAGAGAUGUGGAGGAAUACCGAUGGCGAAGCAGCCCCCUGGGAUAACACUGACGCUCAUGCACGAAAGCGUGGGGAGCAAACAGGAUUAGAUACCNUGGUAGUCCACGCCUGAACGAUGUCAACUAGUUGUUGGGGAUUCAUUUCCUUUAGUAACGUAGCUAACGCGUGAAGUUGACCGCCUGGGGAGUACGGUCGCAAGAUUAAAACUCAAAGGAAUUGACGGGGACCCACACAAGCGGUGGAUGAUGUGGAUUAAUUCGAUGCAACGCGAAAAACCUUACCUACCCUCGACAUGCCACUAACGAAGCAGAGAUGCAUUAGGUGCUCGAAAGAGAAAGUGGACACAGGUGCCGCAUGGCUGUCGUCAGCUCGUGUCGUGAGAUGUUGGGUUAAGUCCCGCAACGAGCGCAACCCUUGUCUCUAGUUGCUACGAAAGGGCACUCUAGAGAGACUGCCGGUGACAAACCGGAGGAAGGUGGGGAUGACGUCAAGUCCUCAUGGCCCUUAUGGGUAGGGCUUCACACGUCAUACAAUGGUGCAUACAGAGGGUUGCCAAGCCGCGAGGUGGAGCUAAUCCCAGAAAAUGCAUCGUAGUCCGGAUCGUAGUCUGCAACUCGACUACGUGAAGCUGGAAUCGCUAGUAAUCGCGGAUCAGCAUGCCGCGGUGAAUACGUUCCCGGGUCUUGUACACACCGCCCGUCACACCAUGGGAGUGGGUUUUGCCCGAAGUAGUUAGCCUAACCGCAAGGGGGGCGAUUACCACGGCAGGGUUCAUGACUGGGGUGAAGUCGUAACAAGGUA